AACGAACGCUGGCGGCAGGCCUAACACAUGCAAGUCGAGCGCCCCCUUUAGAGCACAAAGACGGAGACGCGGUGGUUGGAGAGAUCCGAUCGCUGGUUUUGGUGUUUUUGUCUUCUGAUGGGGGAGCGGCGGACGGGUGAGUAACGCGUGGGAAUUUUCCUCAAGGUACGGAACAACUCAGGGAAACUUGGGCUAAUACCGUAUGAUGUCUAGCGACCAAAGAUUUANCGCCUUGGGAUAAGCCCGCGUCAGAUUAGGUAGUUGGUGGGGUAACGCCUACCAAGCCUGCGAUCUG
rnacentral:rRNA from 1 species